AGAGUUUGAUCAUGGCUCAGAAUCAACGCUGGCGGCGUGCCUAACACAUGCAAGUCGAGCGAGAGGAAGUAGCAAUACUUUAGUAAAGCGGCGCACGGGUGAGUAACACGUGGAUAACCUGCCUCGAAGUGGGGAAUAACCCCGGGAAACCGGAGCUAAUACCGCAUAAUCUGACGAGAUCUGUGGAUUUUGUCAGCAAAGGAGCAAUUCGCUUUGAGAGGGGUCCGCGGCUGAUUAGCUAGUUGGUGAGGUAAUGGCUCACCAAGGCCACGAUCAGUAGCCGGUCUGAGAGGACGGUCGGCCACACUGGAACUGAGACACGGUCCAGACUCCUACGGGAGGCAGCAGUGGGGAAUUUUUCGCAAUGGGGGCAACCCUGACGAAGCAACGCCGCGUGGGUGAUGAAGUAUUUCGGUACGUAAAACCCUUUCGACGGGGACGAAACCGCAAGGUUGACGGUACCCGUAGAAGAAGCCCCGGCUAACUCCGUGCCAGCAGCCGCGGUAAUACGGGGGGGGGCAAGCGUUGUUCGGAAUUACUGGGCGUAAAGGGCGCGUAGGCGGUUUGCUAAGUUGGAUGUGAAAACUCUGGGCUUAACCCAGAGCCUGCAUCCAAAACUGGCAAACUUGAGUACUGGAGGGGAAAGCGGAAUUCCUGGUGUAGCGGUGAAAUGCGUAGAUAUCAGGAGGAACACCGGUGGCGAAGGCGGCUUUCUGGACAGUAGCUGACGCUGAGGCGCGAAAGCUAGGGGAGCAAACAGGAUUAGAUACCCCAGUAGUCC
rnacentral:rRNA from 1 species